CCUACGUGAGGCAGCCGUGGGGAAUAUUGGGCAAUGGGCGCAAGCCUGACCCAGCAACGCCGCGUGAAGGAAGAAGGCCCUCGGGUUGUAAACUUCUUUUGUCAGGGGCGAAACAAAUGACGGUACCUGACGAAUAAGCCACGGCUAACUACGUGCCAGCAGCCGCGGUAAUACGUAGGUGGCAAGCGUUAUGCGGAUUUACUGGGUUUAAAGGGCGUGUAGGGGGGAGAGCAAGUCAGAUGUGAAAUUCCAGGGCUCAACCCUGGAACUGCAUUUGAAACGGUUUUUCUUGGGGGAUGGAGAGGAAGGCGGAAUUGCGGGUGUAGCGGUGAAAUGCGUAGAUAUACGGAGGAACACCAGUGGCGAAGGCGGCCUGCUGGACAUUAACUGACGCUGAGGCGCGAAAGCGUGGGAGCAAACAGGAUUAGAUACCCUAGUAGUC
rnacentral:rRNA from 1 species